ensembl:ncRNA C32C4.10 ncRNA
AAAUAAGAAUAGAACUUUGAAAAAAUAAAUGUAAUGUUUUUCCCAAUGACCUAUAGAAACUAUUUUCGGGUAAAUGUAAGGAGGAACGGAGAUAAAUUAGAUUGAGAGUAAUCGACUUGUUUUCACCUCCAGCACCUGAUUUUUUGUCAUGAACUGUACAUAGAGAAAAUUAUAGAAAAGUGACCACUGUAAUACAUU